AUACGGAGGGUGCAAGCGUUAUCCGGAUUUACUGGGCGUAAAGGGCGUGUAGGCGGUCUUGCAAGUCAGAAGUGAAAUUCCCGGGCUUAACUUGGGCGCUGCUUCUGAAACUGCUUUACUUGAGUGCUGGAGAGGCUAGUGGAAUUCCUAGUGUAGCGGUAAGAUGCGCAGAUAUUAGGAGGAACACCGGUGGCGAAGGCGGCUAUCUGGACAGUAACUGACGCUGAGGCGCGAAAGCACGGGGAGCAAACAGGAUUAGAUACCCUGGUAGUCCGUGCCGUAAACGAUGAAUACUAGGUGUAGGGGGUAUCGACUCCCUCUGUGCCGCAGUUAACACAUUAAGUAUUCCACCUGGGGAGUACGGCCGCAAGGUUGAAACUCAAAUGAAUUGGCGGGG
rnacentral:rRNA from 1 species